GAACAGGUGGGAGAGGUAUUGUAGUGAGACUUGGAGAAACAGUGGACCUGCCAUGUAAGGGAGCAGCUGAUAAUCUGGAUAUCCAGUGGCUCAAACGGGACUCUAGAUAUGAGCAAGAAACAUGGAGCAGAGUUUUUAGGGACAAUAUGACAUCAGUGAUGGACAAUGUUAGAGGAACAUACCAACUGGUGACAAACACAUCAGCUCUUUGUGUAUCCAACGCCACAACAACAGACUUUACAUGGUACAGAUGUCUGGUGAUGAACCAACAGCAGUGUGUUAGCAGACACACUGUAGAGUUGAGACUACCGCAUGAGAGAAUCUACCCCUCAGUGGGAGAGGCCGCUGUGUUGCCGUGCAAUGCUGCUGAUUCCACUGAUGAACAGCCCCCACGUUGGAUUGAUGGGUUCUCCAUUAAA